GGGUGUAUAAAGUGGCGAAAGGGCGAGGAAUACGUUCCCACGUACCCCGAGGUCGAGGAUAGCCCAGGGAAACCUGGAGUAAUACUCGAUGUGGUCCUCCGGGAUCAAAGGCUUCGGUCGCCUUGGGAGCGGGGAACGCCCUAUCGGUUUUGUAGUAACGCUACCAAGCCGAAACGGUAGCGGGUGGAAGCACGACCCGCCGCAUCGGACUGAACACUGCCCGACUCCUACGGGAGGCUGCAGCAACGAAUCUUCCGCAAUGCGCGAAAGCGUGACGGAGCAAUGCCGCGUGCAGGAUGAAGCCCUUCGGGGUGUAAACUGCUGUCAGGGUUCAGCAACACAAUGAGCAGACCCAAAGGAAGGGCCGGCUAACUUCGUGCCAGCAGCCGCGGUAAUACGAAGGGCCCGAGCGUUGCGCGGAAUCAUUGGGCUUAAAGCGUACGUAGGCGGACGAGCAGGCACCUUGUGAAAUCCCUCGGCUCAACCGAGGAAUUGCUUGGUGAACCGCUCGUCUUGAGGCAGUAGGGGCUGUCGGAACGAUAGGUGGAGCGGUGAAAUGCGUUGAUAUCUAUCGGAACGCCAAGGUGAAGACAGGCAGCUGGGCUGUCCUGACGCUGAGGUACGAAAGCGUGGGGAGCGAACGGGAUUAGAUACCCCGGUAGUCCACGCCGUAAACGAUGUGCACUAGAUCGAGGAGGUUCUGACGCAUUCUCGGUGAAGCAAAGUGUUAGUGCACCGCCUGGGAGUCGGUCCAAGGCUAAAACUCAAAGGAAUUGACGGGGGCUCACACAAGCGGUGGAGCAUGUGGCUUAAUUCGAAGCAACGCGAAGAACCUUAUCCUGGGUUGACAUGCACGGAUUAGCUUCCUGAAAGGGAAGUGACGCCUUCGGGUGGAACGUCCACAGGUGCUGCAUGGCUGUCGUCAGCUC
rnacentral:rRNA from 1 species